rnacentral:rRNA from 1 species
UACGUAGGGGGCAAGCGUUGUCCGGAAUCAUUGGGCGUAAAGCGCGUGUAGGCGGCUCGGUAAGUCUGCUGUGAAAGUCCAGGGCUCAACCCUGGGAUGCCGGUGGAUACUGUCGAGCUCGAGUCCGGAAGAGGCGAGUGGAAUUCCUGGUGUAGCGGUGGAAUGCGCAGAUAUCAGGAGGAACACCAAUAGCGAAGGCAGCUCGCUGGGACGUUACUGACACUGAGGCGCGAAAGCGUGGGGAGCGAACAGG